rnacentral:lncRNA from 1 species
UCUCUGACUGAACUCUGGGCAGCUCUGACUGAACUCUGGUUAUUCCUGACUGAAUUCUAGUUGUUUUUGACUGAACUCUGAUAAUCUCAGACUGAACCCUAGUUGUCUCUGACUGAAUUUUGGGCAUCUCUGGCUGAACUCUGAUAGCUCUGAUUGCACUCUGAUCAUUUCUGACUGAAUUCUAGUUGUUUUUGACUGAAUUCUGGUAGCCUUUGACUGAACUCUGAGUGUCUCUGACUGAACUCUGGUCAUUUCUGACUGAAUUCUGGGCAUCUCUGACUAAACUCUGGGCAGCUCUGACUGAACUUGGGUCAUUUUUGACUAAAUUCUGAUUUUUUUUUUAACUGAACUUUGGUCAUCUCUCACUGAACCCUGGUCAUCGCUCACUGAACUCUGGGCAUCUCUGACAACUCUGGGCAUCUCUGACUGAACUCUGGUUGUCUCUGGCUGAACUCUGGGUGUCUCUGACUAAACUCUGGGCAGCUGUGAUUGAACUCUGGUUAUUUCUGACUGAAUUCUAGUUGUUUUUGACUGAACUCUGAUACUCUCAGACUGAACUCUGGUUGCCUCUGACUGAAUUCUGGGCAUCUCUGACUGAAUUCUGGGCAGCUCUGUCUGAACUCUGGUCAUUUCUGACUGAACCCUCAGCAUCUCUGACUGAACUCUGGGUGUCUCUGACUGAACUCUAGGCAUCUUCAGCUUCUACUCCCUGGUGUGGUGAGCACAGGGUGUGUCCUAGAGCCAUUGCUGGAGACCCAAGUAGGACUCGUUGGCCCUCUCCCAUCUUUUAAAGUUCUCCACCUUCUGUAUGUUUUGUUAGCGCCUUAAUACCAACCCCUCACACCUUCCUGGCACCCUAUGAUCCAGUAACGUUCACAACUUGUUCCCACAUCUAAGCUCUCCCAUGAGGCCGCAGGGCAGUAGCUGUUUCCCUGCUGAUAAGCCAGUAAGAAGUCUUUGAAACCCUGAGCCAUUUCUUUUUCUCUUUUUAUAAUGGUCUGCCUCUCAAACAAUUUCAUCUCCAGCAUUUUUCCCCGUUUUUUGGGAUUUUAUUAUUAUUAUUAUUUUUAAUCUGAUAGAGAGGGUGGAAGCUAAAAAAAAUCUCACAAAGAAACUGUAGAAAAAUCCGUCACCAUCCAUUUCCCCCCACCCUGGAGACCUUGCUGUUUUAGCCGCUCCAAAGAAACACUUUCAGUUGGUCACACCCUUUGCCAACAGCUGAGCUCGUGGCCUGGUCACGUUUAUAGCUCGCCCUGGAACGCUCCAUGUGGCGGAGGCUUUGGCGGAGCAAAACCACAAGCCACGGUGUCAACUGGCUAAACACCAACCCAGACGGAGCAGACAGAUCAAAUGGAAAGGCUCCCCCAUCCUGUCCUCUACACCACCUUGCAGCUGGGCCUCAGCAACUGGGCUUUUAAUUUCAGUCUAAUUCAAGUCAGCAGCAUAGGGCAGCUCCUGGGAAAUUGGUUUACACAUGCGGACAAGCCCAGUAGCCCAGAGCUAACCCACUCACCAUCCCUGACCACAGAGGAGCAGAUAAGGAAGCAAGAUUUGUCGGGAUGGAGUCUCGCUCUGUCACCCAGGCUGGAGUGCAGUG